GGAUGUGAGGGCGAUCUAGCUGCGACAUCUGUCACCCCAUUGAUCACCAGGGUUGAUUUGGCUGAUCUGGCUGGCUAGGCGGGUGUCCCCUUCCUCCCUCACUGGUCCAUGUGCGUCCCUCCCGAAGCUGCGCGCUUGGUCAAAGAGGACUACCUUGCCCGCUAGAGGAGGACUGGUCUUUGGGUUCGGUCAAGGGUAUAUGAGUAGCUGCGCUCCCCUACUAGAACCUCAAAACAAGCUCCCAAAAUCCAUGAAGAGUUAACAAAUACCUACUAUGUAAAAGGCAACAACUAACUACACGUAAUACUAGAU
rnacentral:snRNA from 1 species